UACAGAGGGGGCAAGCGUUAUUCGGAAUUAUUGGGCGUAAAGGGCGCGUAGGCGGCUUGGCAAGUGGAUGGUGAAAUCCCUCGGCUUAACCUGGAAACUGCCAUUGAUACUAUCAAUCUUGAAUACCUUGGAGGUGAGCGGAAUAUGUCAUGUAGCGGUGAAAUGCUUAGAUAUGACAUAGAACACCAAUUGCGAAGGCAGCUCACUACACGGUCAUUGACACUGAGGCACGAAAGCGUGGGGAUCAAACAGG
rnacentral:rRNA from 1 species